rnacentral:rRNA from 1 species
UACGUAGGCAGCGAGCGUUGUUCGGAGUUACUGGGCGUAAAGCGCCCGCAGGCGGCUUGCCAAGUCUGACGUGAAAUCUCCCGGCUCAACUGGGAGGGUGCAUCGGAAACUGGCAGGCUUGAGGCAGGGAGAGGGAUGUGGAAUUCCAGGUGUAGUGGUGAAAUGCGUAGAUAUCUGGAGGAACACCAGUGGCGAGGCGGCAUCCUGGCCCUGUCCUGACGCUCAGGGGCGAAAGCGUGGGGAGCAAACGGG